rnacentral:rRNA from 1 species
UGUGUUGAUCCUGCCAUUCCUCUUAUGCUUGCCUCAAAGACCAAGCCUUGCAUGUCUUAGUAUACACCACUUAUACUGUGAAACUGCUAAUGGCUCACUCCAGCAGCUAUCCUUGAUUUGAUGUUUCUUGCUACAUGCACCACUGCGGUAAUUCAACCAGCUAAUACCUGCUUCAAAAGCCCCCACUUCUGGAAGGGGUGUAUUUAUUAGAUAAAAACCAUCCUCCUCGUUAGUUUGGUGAUUCAUAAUAACUUCUCCAAUCGCACGGCCUUGUGCUGGCGAUGCUUCAUUCACAUAUCUGCCCUAUCUUCUGUCAAUGGUAAGACACAUGCCUAACAUGGUCGCUUCUGGUAACGGGGAAUAAUGGUUCGAUUCCGGAGAGGGAGCCUGACAAACAGCUACCACAUCCAAAGAAGGCAACAAGCGCGCAAAUUACCCAUUCCCGACACGGGUUAGGUAGUGACAAUAAAUAACAAGGCUUGGCCCUUUUGAGUCUUGUAAUUGUAAUGAGUACAAUUUCAAUCCCUUAACGAGGAACUAUUGGACGGCA